rnacentral:rRNA from 1 species
GACGAACGCUGGCGGCGUGCCUAAUACAUGCAAGUUGAGCGCUGAAGGUUGGUGCUUGUACCAACUGGAUGAGCAGCGAACGGGUGAGCAACGCGUGGGGAAUCUGCCUUUGAGCGGGGGACAACAUUUGGAAACGAAUGCUAAUACCGCAUAAAAACUUUAAACACAAGUUUUAAGUUUGAAAGAUGCAAUUGCAUCACUCAAAGAUGAUCCCGCGUUGUAUUAGCUAGUUGGUGAGGUAAAGGCUCACCAAGGCGAUGAUACAUAGCCGACCUGAGAGGGUGAUCGGCCACAUUGGGACUGAGACACGGCCCAAACUCCUACGGGAGGCAGCAGUAGGGAAUCUUCGGCAAUGGACGAAAGUCUGACCGAGCAACGCCGCGUGAGUGAAGAAGGUUUUCGGAUCGUAAAACUCUGUUGGUAGAGAAGAACGUUGGUGAGAGUGGAAAGCUCAUCAAGUGACGGUAACUACCCAGAAAGGGACGGCUAACUACGUG